GCCUGGAUAGCUCAGUUGAUUACAGUGUGGUGCUGAUAACACCAAGACUGCAGGUUCAAUCCCUGUAUGGGACA